CCUGCGGAGGGAUCAUUACCGAGUUUACAACUCCCAAACCCCUGUGAACAUACCUUACUGUUGCCUCGGCGGAUCAGCCCGCUCCCGGUAAAACGGGACGGCCCGCCAGAGGACCCCUAAACUCUGUUUCUAUAUGUAACUUCUGAGUAAAACCAUAAAUAAAUCAAAACUUUCAACAACGGAUCUCUUGGUUCUGGCAUCGAUGAAGAACGCAGCAAAAUGCGAUAAGUAAUGUGAAUUGCAGAAUUCAGUGAAUCAUCGAAUCUUUGAACGCACAUUGCGCCCGCCAGUAUUCUGGCGGGCAUGCCUGUUCGAGCGUCAUUUCAACCCUCAAGCCCUCGGGUUUGGUGUUGGGGAUCGGCGAGCCUUUCUGGCAAGCCGGCCCCGAAAUCUAGUGGCGGUCUCGCUGCAGCCUCCAUUGCGUAGUAGUAAAACCCUCGCAACUGGAACGCGGCGCGGCCAAGCCGUUAAACCCCCAACUUCUGAAUGUUGACCUCGGAUCAGGUAGGAAUACCCGCUGAACUUAAGCAUAUC
rnacentral:rRNA from 1 species